rnacentral:rRNA from 1 species
UACGAAGGGGGCUAGCGUUGUUCGGAAUUACUGGGCGUAAAGCGCACGUAGGCGGAUCAUUUAGUCAGGGGUGAAAUCCCGGGGCUCAACCUCGGAACUGCCUUUGAUACUGAUGGUCUCGAGUCCGAUAGAGGUGAGUGGAAUUCCUAGUGUAGAGGUGAAAUUCGUAGAUAUUAGGAAGAACACCAGGGGCGAAGGCGGCUCACUGGAUCGGUACUGACGCUGAGGUGCGAAAGCGUGGGGAGCAAACAGG